GCGUCGGUGGUCUAGUGGCUAUGACUCCGGCCUUCCAAGCCGGGUACCCGGGUUCGAAUCCCGGCCGACGCA
rnacentral:tRNA from 1 species